rnacentral:rRNA from 1 species
GACGAACGCUGGCGGCGCGCUUAACACAUGCAAGUCGAGCGAAUCGGCGGACGGGUGAGUAACACGUGAGUAACCUGCCUUAGACAUUGGGAUAGCCUCGUUAAACCGGGAUUAAUACCACAUGGUCUAAGAUGUACUCGCGACCCAGUAGCUAGUUGGUGAGGUAACGUCCCACCAAGGCAAGGAUGGGUAGCAGGCGUGAGAGGGUGAACGGCAACAGUGGAACUGAGAAACGGGCCAAACGAUACGGGAGGAAGCAGUGGGGAAUAUUGAACAAGGGAGGGAACUAUGAGGCAGCGACGCCGGGUGAACGAAGAAGGCUUUCGAGGAGUAAAGUUCUUGUAUAGGGGAAGCGGUACCAUAAGAAAAAGCCCCGGCUAACUACGUGCCAGCAGCCGCGGUAAUAC